rnacentral:lncRNA from 1 species
UUGUUUAUUAUUUUUCAAUUUAAUUGAUUAAAUGCUAAGAAAUCUUAUUUGUCUCCAAAUUUGGUAAUUUUCCUCUUUGGCUCGGAUUGUUGAAUUUGGGAGCUAAGAUUCAUGCAAUUUAGCUGCUAAGGUUUGGGUUAGCUCAUUAAUAAAGGAUUUGAGCUUAAAUAGUUGGAUUGCUACGAAUUAGUUGAUUAUGUAAAAGUUGGCCUUCUUUUCUAUAGCAAGGAAUAAUUAAUAUUUGAUGUUUUGAUGCAUUUGAAAGGAGAAACAAAGGUAAAUCAACUUGUUGGUGAACUAACGAAUGAUUGAAGGCUGAGGAUCGAAACUUCGCUGAGAGUACCUCCAAUUUGUCAUUGUGAGUGAGAUUUAAGUUAAAUGCAUGUGACGCAUAGUGCACAAUAGGUGUGUUGCCAUGGUAUUGGAAUGUGUGUAUGUAUGUACAUGUAUAUCUAUGAUUACCUAGAUGUAAGUGCCUAGGCUAGAAAACCAAACUAUGACAUGUGUGUUUGUGUCAAAUAAUGUGAGCCAUAUGGGUGGUUUACUCUUUGUGUGCCUAGACUAGGAUGUCUAGAGGCUAUAAUGAUUCCUACGAAUAAAUUUCCCUAGGCGAAGGAUAUGUUAAAGGGAUUUGAUCUAAUGAUGCCUUGGAGAUUUAGUGGCAUUUAGAACCUAACUAAGCUUAAAGACGAUUGAAGCUUGAUAAAUGUAAAUUGAGGUUUGAUGAGGUAAAAUGUGAAUGAUAAAGGCAUGAUGGCCUUAUUUGUGGAUAUUUGUUUCCGUCCAAGGGAUGAAUUUUGAACAUUGAUCUGAUUUGUGGAUGAGUGGAGUUUCAUUCCCCUGUGACUAUAUGUGUGCCUUCAGGGAUGGUGGUAAGCAGGGACGAUGGCUUUAAUCCCACCUGUGAUUCCUUCCUAUAGUGUUUUAAUGCCACCUAUCUGAGAUUACUCCAGGUGAUGCCGACCGUCAAGAGAUUACUCCGAUCAAUGAUUUGAAUCUUCUUUAGCAGCUUCAAUGUUGUGCGUGAUUGGAUUCUCCACUAAUUGCUUCGGCACUAUAUGUGAUUUGUUUUCCACCCGUUGCUUUAGCAUGUGAGUGAUUUGUGCUCCUCCAGUGGCUUUGCUCUAAGCGUGAUUUGAUUCUCCACCUGAUAGCCACUAUGUGUGAUUUGAGUAUGUCUAGGGAAAGAACACUCAAUGAUUUAAUUGGAUAUGUAUAUAAG